UAUUGAGAGACUUUGGAAAAAGAAGUUAACUCCAUUCUCAUCCUGACCCCAUACAAGGCUUCCUGGACAAAACUCUAGUGCUUUCAAUGCUUAGCCCUGCUCCUUGACUGGUGUCUUCUCAUCCUCUGCAAGAGGUACACAUUCUGGGACAAGUAUCCCCUCAAUCUACCCAGCAGCAACUGGUAGAAUGGUAUUUCCUGAUCGAUUUUGGACCAGGUGUGAUGAACUGAUGACUUCUGGACCAUAAAUUAUGAAUGGAAAUAUGCCAUUGUGGUACGGAGCUUUUAACUUCUAGAACAAAUCUCUAGAGCUUUCUCCCUUCUCUCUGGCACUGUAACCAGCCAUAUUCAACAUGAUGGCUGCUCUGAUUCAGAGAAAUAAAAUCUGCAGAGUACCCCCUGCUGAUAAGCAACGGAUAUAGAGAAGGAGCAAGGUAGCUACCUUUCUUGAUGUAUCACCAUGAUUUUUGUGUUGUUUAUCACUCGAACA